ACCUUCAUAAGGCCACAUCAAAAGGCAAGAGACUUUUAGGGGUCCAUGCCAAAAGGUGAGAGGCUGUUAGGGGCCCCAAGUCAAAAGGGGGAUACCUUCAGAGGGAUACAUCAAAAGGUAAGACCUUUCGAGGGCCACAUCAAAAGGUGAGAGAGACUUUUAAUCAAGAUGAAGUUCAGUCCUCUGACCAAGUCCAGUGAAAGUACAGAACCUUCUGCAGACAAGACGACCUGUCCCCAGAGUCUUACCUUAGCAAAACGUUUGCUUUCCAGGUCGUGAGUUACUCAGUCUUCGGGGACUUCCCAAACGACUACUACCUGGGUAUGGAGCUCCUGAUACCCCGGAUUGCCGAAGUGUAUCCGGACUGGGUCAUCCGGUUCUACCAUCGAAUGGACAUGCACAACGCCACUGUCCGGAAUUGGCUCUGCGACCUGUCUUGCACCUAUCCGCAGCUGGAUCUCUGCCACAUCGAGAAUCUGCCAGUUUUCGGCAACAUCACCUACGCCUUCGGGAGGGUCUGGCGGUUCGCCCCGAUGGGUGACGCCCUCGUAGACAGGUACAUGGUCCGAGACGCAGAUUCUCCCAUCCUCCAAAGGGAGGUCGACGCCGUCGAGGAUUGGAUCAAGGACGGGACGUGUUUCCACGCGAUGCGGGACUACCCACGCCAUGGCGCCCGGAUGCUGGCGGGGAUGUGGGGCGGAUGUAACGAUUGGCGAGCGGCUGACAUCCUUAACGCCACCCGGCGGAUCUUCGGGUCCGCAUUCUACACUCAGAAGGACGUCUUCGCGGAUCAGCGGGAGAUGCUUAGGAAACUUUGGCCGAUAGCGGGGAGGAAUAUCACGGUACACGCUUCUUACUUCUGCAAGAAUUUCGGCUACUCGGAGCCCUUCCCCACCAGGAGGGACAAUUUCACCUACGUGGGGGAGAAGUCCUUCAUAGCAGGAUACGUGAUGGAGCCCUUCGCCGAGUGUCCGGUGGAAUGCCGCCCUCAGAACCACAUGGAUUGGCUUCAUUGCUAAGGGCGCUGAGGGUGCGGUGGGCGGUGUGGCUCGAAGUUAAUGGCUUAGUAAAUACAGAUUGCAUUUUUCUUA